rnacentral:lncRNA from 1 species
UCUAAUGGGAAUUCCGCGAACACGGGAGCUGUUGACUUUUCAGGGCAAAUUUUUUUGUACAAAAAUCGAUUUCCAUGAUUAUCAUUCAAUUAUGAAUUCAGUUAGUUUGACGCUUGCACCAUACUUCAACCUGGGUUUCUUUUGAAUUUGAUGGAGAUGCAUUUCAUCAUAUAAAUCUCAAAACAAUAAACGCCUACGUAAUUACGACUUCGAGCGCUAGAUGGUCAUGAGUACAAAAAAACAAAACAAAAGACGGAAUGGAUAAAUUAUUAUUAUUAUUUUUUUAUCGUGGCGAAACCGGUUGCCAUAUAUACCUUCGGAUUGUAAAGUUUUGAUAGCUUUUCAAGCACUUUCCUAGAAAUGUUGAAAGAUUACAGAGUGAAGCAAAGCAUAUUUACUGAGAGGAAAAACAAGGUCAACUUAAUGGUUAUACAAAAAGAAUAUUGCCUGGAUGAGCAAGUUUACUGUAUCUGCUGUAGCUCAGACGGACCCAUGGACCCACUACUGUGGUGAAUGCAUUCCUUUUUAUUAUGUGUCUUGUAUUAAAUUUUGUCUUUGACAGUAAAGUAAGAAGAGGAAAUUGUUGGAAAACCCAUCUUGAAUGAAGCCAAAUAUUCCUAUGUUGAUGUUUGAGAGCCCAGCCUGUGAAAUAAUAAUACUCCCUGAUCUAGCUAGACAAGGCAAGAAGAAGACAUUGUUCCUUUGCUACUUCUGGGGACCACCAUAACAGCCAACAGCACAUCACAGCACCAGAAUACAGAAGAGUCCUGUUUUGUACUUUUGACAUAUUGCUUCAAUGGAGUUAGUACGGGAAAACAACACUGACAGGCCAUAGUUAAAAGCUUCUCAAGAUUCUAUGUUUUACCUCCGUCGCCUUGCCCGUCGCCUUGUCCGUCGCCUUGCCCGUCGCCUUGUCCGUCGCCUUGUCCGUCGCCUUGCCCGUCGUCUCGUCCGUCGCCUUGCCCGUCGUCUCGUUUGUCGCCUUGCCCGUUGUCUUUCCCGCCGCCAGCCUUCGCUUCGCCCGUCACCCCGCCUUCGUCUCGUGACCGCCCUGUCUUCAGUUCGGCCGUCGCCAACCCGUCUCCACUUCGCCCGUCGCCACCCCGUCUCCACUUCACCCGUUGCCCCGUCUUCGCCCUAUGGUCGCCCCGUCACCGCCUCGUAUUUGUGGUAUCGUUGUAUUUUUUAAUGUGUAAUUGUGUAGUAUUAAUUAACCCGUUGGCUGCCACCCACUUUGAUCCCCUUUUUUUAAAAAAGCUUGUUAGGGUCCGGCAGCGCUGUUCUGCCCAAUGGUCUAUAUGCCAUGGGUGGGACAGUUGCACAAGCCGUGUGGCUCAAAGUCGAUCGUCGAGGCAAUGCACCAGUAGGGACUUCCCCCCUUGUCGAUGUGGUGUUGGUUGCCUGGGGUGUGCAUUCCCAUAACGGCUUCCAUCAUCAUAUCAGCCCGGACUUGUUUUCGGACAAGUCCCCCUUGGUCGCUAUCCUUUCGAUAGCGAUGUAGCUACUGUAGAUUUAGUGGCGUGGCAGCCAACGGGUUAGUUUUAUUUAUGUAUGUUUUGUAUUGUGUUGUAUUGUAAAAUGUAAAAAUUUUGUGGUGGAUUUGUGGGUGGAUGGAGGGACAAUAAAUACUUUAUUUUAUU